ACCUUCACGCGGACGAACAGAACUCACGAUCUGCUGCUCGCGACUUCUCUUAGGCUAGGGCACGCGAUUUCCCCACCGCCAGCCACUCUCUUCCUUUCUUCUUCCUCACCACAGGCAGGCGGCUCUUUCCUUACCUUCACUGCCGCCGGCCGGUCCCCACAUCCAUUUCUCCACUUCUCUGAUCUGCUCAACUCCGCGACGACAGCAGCUCCGGCGGUCUCUUUGAGCGGACAGCAGUGUGGGUCUAGGGUUCUCUUGACGGCGGAGCGUUCUCCUCCGGCAAGGUAUUCCUUCUUCAUUCCUACCUCAGCGGACAUCUUCCUGUGGACGGCGUUCCGAAAGCAGAGGAUUCCAGCAGAGGAAUCCGACUGUGCCUUAUUCUCCAGUGAGCUUCUUCUCAACUUCAUCACUGACGUUGUUGGAUCUUCUGGUGAUGGCGUUCCACAAACAGAAGGUUCCAUCUCAGUGCAUACUCCAAUUCCAGCACAAGCACUCCAAUUCCGGCAGAUCACUCAAGCAAGCUGGUCGUGAUCAGGGGCUGUCGUUGUGUGCUGUUCACCAGUGAUGGCGUUCCAGAUCUGGUACCUUUGUGUGACGGCGAAGGGUAGUUGAAUGGGUGUAUGAUCGCUGAGGAGUGGAUUUGGUGGAGCUGGAGAUGUUGCUUGAACUUUACCCAAAGCAUUGGCCAAGAGAGGACAUCGUGUAAUGGGUCCUUGGCGUGUCCCAUGUGGUUGAUUUUUCUGAUAAUGGACUUAUGAUGUAUACCCUAAUGUGCCAGGGUAAUACACAACGUUGCACAUCAGGGAUCAUUGUAGUUUGAGUUAGAGCUUUGGAUUAUUCAAGACAAAGUUCCAACAAUUUCAAAAGUUGAAACUAAAGAUCUUUAAUCUGUUUCAAUUUUUACAAGUUAUUGUUAAUUCUGGUGAUUUUACUGUCAUCCAGAAAUAUUACUGGUGGAUUAAUUAAUUCUUUCCUCUUUUUCAGAUUGAAAGGGUAGCUAGCAUGUUAAUUCACUUUCUCUUGCAACUUGCUGAUCUUCAACGGAGGUUUCGUAAUAUAAAAGAUCCUGAAAAAUACGAAUUUAGAACCAGACAAUUGUGAAAACAAGUUAGUGCAAUGCCCAUUUGAUUUUUCGUAUGAUCUUAAAUUACAUUGUUGUUUAAUGCUUGUGAAUUUGCUGUGAAAGAUUGUCGAGAUUUAUGUUUAUAUUGCAAGAAGUGAUAAAGAGAAUGUAUUUCUUGUUGCAAUCUUGAAGGAUGGAUGAGCAUACAAUGAGAGGUGUCGACUAUGCACGAUUAACUUGUAUGGAUAAGGAUGCCUUGUGAAUCAGCCUUUUCUAUCAUGUUUUAUGUAGUGUUAAUUUUUUGAAGUUUUAUAAACGGUUGUUUACAUCUACAGUUGAUAUUCUCUCGAAUAUUGACAAAGAUGGUAAGGUGAUCCAAGAGUUUGUUCAGUUUGAUCUCAAACAAAAUCAACAACAUUUGAAGCAUUGAAUGUUAAGGCUAUUUUUGGAGAGAUACUAGAUAAAUUUCUUGUCUCGAUUCAAGCCUGAAUCGGGUUAAAAAAUUCAUUUGGUAUCUUGUUAAGAAUAGUCUCAGUAUUCAAUGCUUCAGAAGCUGCUUAUUUGGCUUUAAGCUAAACAAACUUUUGGAUCACCUUACCAUGUUCACUAAUUUUCGAUAGAAUAUCAACUGCAGAUGUAAACACUGUUCCAUUUAUAAAACUUUAGAAAAUUUAACACUGCAUAAAUCAUGAUAUAAAGGGUUGAUUCAUAAGGCAUCCUUAUCCAUGCAAGACAAUCGUGCAUAGGAGAUGUCUCAUUGUAUGCCCAUCCAUUUCAAAGCAGGAAACACAUUCUCUUUAUCAUUUCUUACAAUAUAAAUAUAAAUCUUGACAAUCUUUCAUAGCACAUUCACAGACAUUAAAUAAAAAUGUAAUUUAAGAUUAUACGAAAAGUCAAAUGAACAUUGCACUAAUUUGUUUUCACAAUUGUGUGGUUCUAAAUUCGUAUUUUUCAGAAUCUUGUAUAUUACGAAACCUCCGUUGAAGAUCAACAAGUUGCAAGAGAAAGUGAAUUAGCAUGGUAACUACUCUUUCAACCUGAAAAAGAGAAAAUAACUAAUUAAUUUAAUAAUAAUAUUUCCUGAUGAUAGUAAAGUCACCAGAAUGAACAAUAACUUAUAAGAAUUGAAAUAGUUUAAAUCAUUGAUGGACAAGAGUGAUUCACAAGGCAUUCUCGCCUAUGGAAGACAAUUGUGCAUAGAAGAUACCUUCUUAUUGUAUGACCAUCCAUCUUUCGAGAUUGGUGAAGAUGGUAAAGUAAUUCAGAAGUUUUUUCAGCUUGGUCUCAAAGUCAAAUCAGCAACUUCUAAAGCAUUGAAUGUUGAGGCUAUGCUUGAAGAGAUAUCAAAUGAAUUCCUUGAUCCGAUAUAGUAUAACUGAUGAGAGAUCCUGCCAUUUUACCUUUAUCAAGAAUAUAAGUAGACCAGCCAGUUAUCCAAAGGCGCUUGCUGAGUGACCGAUCCAUUCAACCAUUCCCAUCUCACUCAAGACAUGCUGAUACUCAACACAGAGCUGAAACAAAGAAUCCAAGAUUUCAUCAGAUCUGUAGAGGAAACGAAGCAGAGGGAAUGAAGCUUCUGAAGAUGUUUGUGGUUGAGUAAAUGCAGAUCAAAGCUGUUUACGAAAAUGACAAAGGGUGAAGCUGAAGGUCCACCUUUCUAGUCUUCAAUAGUGGGGGAAAUUGUUAUCCAUAUUCCAACACCUUUGUGACCGACAAAAACACAUUAAAGGCCUUACAAAAGGCUUCUGCUAUGAAUUGUAAAACUUUUCUUAUUCUUUCAUUACAUAACAUAUAGAGAAUUUAUACUCGUUUACAAGGUUUUUCCA